GGGCGCUUAGCUCAGCGGCAGAGCGCUGCCUCGACACGGCAGAGGUCACUGGUUCAAUCCCAGUAGCGCCCA
rnacentral:tRNA from 1 species